rnacentral:rRNA from 1 species
UACAGAGGGUGCGAGCGUUGUCCGGAAUCAUUGGGCGUAAAGAGCGUGUAGGCGGUCCGGUAAGUCCGCUGUGAAAGUCGGGGGCUCAACCCUCGAAUGCCGGUGGAUACUGUCGGGCUAGAGUGCGGAAGAGGCGAGUGGAAUUCCUGGUGUAGCGGUGGAAUGCGCAGAUAUCAGGAGGAACACCGGUGGCGAAGGCGGCAUCCUGGACCAACACUGACACUGAGGAGCGAAAGCCAGGGGAGCAAACGGG